AUGGCCUCAGGGUUCAUCCUCCUUGCCCUUUUGGCUUUGUCAGCUUCUAGUGCUCUUGCCUCCGACCCAGGCCAGCUCCAGGAUUUCUGCGUCGCUGACAGGACAUCCCAAGGUUCAUAUAUGCAUUCCUGUGCUGGAACGUUCGCGCUACUUAUUUGUGCCUGCCAAUAUGUAGUUGUUAACUGUUCAAAAUCUUGAUAUGUAUGUGCAGUUUUUGUCAAUGGAUUUGCAUGCAAAGACCCAAAGACUGCCUUGGCAGAAGAUUUCUUUUUCUCUGGCCUUCAGAUGGCUGGGAACACGAGCAACAAGCAAGGUUCCGCAGUUACCGCAGUUAAUGUGGCGCAAAUUGCUGGGCUGAACACUUUGGGCAUCUCCCUGGCUCGUGUCGAUUAUGCACCCUACGGUCAAAACCCACCGCAUAUCCACCCCCGUGCAACCGAGAUCCUGACCGUGCUGGAAGGCUCGCUCUAUGUUGGUUUCAUCACCUCGAACCCUGAAAACAAGUUGUUCUCAAAAGUUCUUAACAAAGGGGAUGUGUUUGUGUUUCCACAAGGGAUGAUUCACUUUCAGUUCAACUACGGAACCAACAAGGCGAUAGCCAUUGCAGCGCUGAGCAGCAAAAAUCCUGGAGUGAUCACCAUAGCCAAUACAGUGUUUGGAUCGAAUCCAUCCAUCUCAGGUGAUAUACUUGCCAAAGCCUUCCAGGUGGACAAGAAGAUGGUAGACCAUAUUCAAGCUCAGUUCUAG
rnacentral:rRNA from 1 species